GAUGAAGAACGCAGCGAAAUGCGAUAAGUAAUGUGAAUUGCAGAAUUCAGUGAAUCAUCGAAUCUUUGAACGCACAUUGCGCCCGCCAGCAUUCUGGCGGGCAUGCCUGUUCGAGCGUCAUUUCAACCCUCGAGCCCCCCCGGGGGCCUCGGUGUUGGGGGACGGCACACCAGCCGCCCCCGAAAUGCAGUGGCGACCCCGCCGCAGCCUCCCCUGCGUAGUAGCACACACCUCGCACCGGAGCGCGGAGGCGGUCACGCCGUAAAACGCCCAACUUUCUUAGAGUUGACCUCGGAUCAGGUAGGAAUACCCGCUGAACUUAAGCAUAUCAAUAAGCGGAGGA
rnacentral:misc_RNA from 1 species